CGCUCAUGGAUCCCCAGUACGGCGAGUGAGAGGGACUAGCCCAAAUUUGUAAUCUGGCUCUUUCAGAGUCCGAGUUGUAAUCUCGAGAACAGUUUUCCGUGUUGGACCUUGUAUAAGUCUGUUGGAAUAUAGCUUCGUAGAGGGUGAGAAUCCCGUACAUAACAAGGACUACCAAUGCUUUGUGAUACUGUCUCUAAGAGUCGAGUUGUUUGGGAAUGCAGCUCAAAUCGGGUGGUAAAUUCCAUCUAAGGCUAAAUAUUGGCGAGAGACCGAUAGCGAACAAGUACCGUGAGGGAAAGAUGAAAAGCACUUUGGAAAGAGAGUUAACAGUACGUGAAAUUGUUAAAAGGGAAACGAUUGAAGUCAGUCUUGUAGCUUUUCGUUCAACCGCAAGGUGUAUUCGGAUUGCAACAGGCCAGCAUCAAUUUUUGGUGUCGGAUAAGGGUAUUGGAAAUGUAGCAAUCUCGGUUGUGUUAUAGUCCUUUACUUGAUACGAUGCUAGGGAUUGAGGAAUGCAGUGAGCCUUUUGGCGGGUCUUUGGACCUUCUCACUUUGGAUGCUGGCGUAAUGGCUUUAAACGACCCGUCUUGAACCACGGACCCA
rnacentral:rRNA from 1 species